rnacentral:misc_RNA from 1 species
GAUGAAGAACGCAGCGAAAUGCGAUAAGUAAUGUGAAUUGCAGAAUUCAGUGAAUCAUCGAAUCUUUGAACGCACAUUGCGCCCCCUGGUAUUCCGGGGGGCAUGCCUGUCCGAGCGUCAUUACAACCCUCAAGCUCAGCUUGGUGUUGGGCCCCGCCGCCCCGGCGGGCCCUAAAGUCAGUGGCGGUGCCGUCCGGCUCCGAGCGUAGUAAUUCUUCUCGCUCUGGAGGUCCGGUCGUGUGCUCGCCAGCAACCCCCAAUUUUUUUCAGGUUGACCUCGGAUCAGGUAGGGAUGCCCGCUGAACUUAAGCAUAUCAAUAAGCGGAGGA